UGAGGAAUAUUGGUCAAUGGGCGUGAGCCUGAACCAGCCAAGUAGCGUGCAGGAAGACGGCCCUAUGGGUUGUAAACUGCUUUUAUGCGGGGAUAAAGGAGUCCACGUGUGGAUUUUUGCAGGUACCGCAUGAAUAAGGACCGGCUAAUUCCGUGCCAGCAGCCGCGGUAAUACGGAAGGUCCGGGCGUUAUCCGGAUUUAUUGGGUUUAAAGGGAGCGUAGGCAGCGUUUUAAGCGUGUUGUGAAAUGUAGACGCCCAACGUCUGCAUCGCAGCGCGAACUGGGACGCUUGAGUACGCGCAACGUUGGCGGAAUUCGUCGUGUAGCGAUGAAAUGCUUAGAUAUGACGAGGAACUCCGAUUGCGAAGGCAGCUGACGGGAGCGGCACUGACGCUUAAGCUCGAAGGUGCGGGUAUCAAACAGG
rnacentral:rRNA from 1 species